AUUGAACGCUGGCGGCAGGCCUAACACAUGCAAGUCGAACGAGUGGCGGACGGGUGAGUAAUGUCUGGGAAACUGCCUGAUGGAGGGGGAUAACUACUGGAACCGGUAGCUAAUACCGCAUACCAUCGGAUGUGCCCAGAUGGGAUUAGCUAGUCGGUGGGGUAAAGGCUCACCUAGGCGACGCUUCCUAGCUGGUCUGCGAGGAUGACCGGCCACACUGGAACUGAGACACGGUCCAGACGCCUACGGGAGGCAGCAGUGGGGAAUAUUGCACAAUGGGCGAAAGCCUGAUGCAGCCAUGCCGCGUGUAUGAAGAAGGCCUUCGGUUUGUAAAGUACUUUCAGCGGGGAGGCGUUACCCGCAGAAGAAGCAACGGCUAACUCCGUGCCAGCAGCCGCGGUAAUUC
rnacentral:rRNA from 1 species